GAGGUUGUAGCUCAGUUGGUUAGAGCAUCGGAUUGUGGUUCCGAGGGCCGUGGGUUCAAGUCCCAUCUACCUCC
rnacentral:tRNA from 1 species